UAACGAUACGGGACUCAUCCGAGGCCCCGUAAUCGGAAUGAGUAUACUUUAAAUCCUUAUGCGAGGAUCAAUUGGAGGGCAAGUCUGGUGCCAGCCGCCGCGGUAAUUCCAGCUCCAAUAGCGUAUAUUAAAGUUGUUGCGGUUAAAAAGCUCGUAGUUGAAUCUGUGUGCCACGCUGUCGGUUCACCGCUCGCGGUGCUCAACUGACAUGAUCGUGGGACGUCCUACCGGUGGGCUUAGCUCCGUACCUCUCGGGGUCGGGCGGUCCGACAAUAUCCCAUCGCGGUGCUCUUCACUGAGUGCCGAGGUGGGCCGGUACGUUUACUUUGAACAAAUUAGAGUGCUUAAAGCAGGCUAUCCUCGCCUGAAUACUGUGUGCAUGGAAUAAUGGAAUAGGACCUCGGUUCUAUUUUGUUGGUUUUCGGAACCCCGAGGUAAUGAUUAAUAGGGACAGAUGGGGGCAUUCGUAUUGCGACGUUAGAGGUGAAAUUCUUGGAUCGUCGCAAGACGGACAGAAGCGAAAGCAUUUGCCAAAAAUGUUUUCAUUAAUCAAGAACGAAAGUUAGAGGUUCGAAGGCGAUCAGAUACCGCCCUAGUUCUAACCAUAAACUAUGCCAGCUAGCGAUCCGCCGAAGUUCCUCCGAUGACUCGGCGGGCAGCUUCCGGGAAACCAAAGCUUUUGGGUUCCGGGGGAAGUAUGGUUGCAAAGCUGAAACUUAAAGGAAUUGACGGAAGGGCACCACCAGGAGUGGAGCCUGCGGCUUAAUUUGACUCAACACGGG
rnacentral:rRNA from 1 species